rfam:Salmo salar isolate Sally breed double haploid chromosome ssa20, whole genome shotgun sequence.
UGUGUUAACAAUUGUAAGUCGCUCUGGAUAAGAGCAUCUGCUAAAUGACUAAAA